UACGUAGGGGGCAAGCGUUAUCCGGAUUUACUGGGUGUAAAGGGAGCGCAGGCGGCACGGCAAGCCUGAUGUGAAAGCCCGCGGCCCAACCGCAGGACUGCAUUGGGAACUACCGGGCUGGAGUGCCGGAGAGGUAGGCGGAAUUCCUAGUGUAGCGGUGAAAUGCGUAGAUAUUAGGAGGAACACCAGUGGCGAAGGCGGCCUACUGGACGGUGACUGACGCUGAGGCUCGAAAGCGUGGGGAGCAAACAGG
rnacentral:rRNA from 1 species